rnacentral:lncRNA from 1 species
UAGACAGCCUGGUCUGAGCAUUGAGGGUCCAGUCAGUGGACCCUUUCUUACUACUGAACACCCAAAUCAUACCUGAGAAGUAGUCGCUUAUGUUUGCAUCCCAGUACAUUUGGUGUUUUGGGUUGAACCCAAACAUCAAUUGCCUGGGCAUUUAUUACAAGUCAGGUGCUGUCUGUUUCAGUCCCAUCCCCCCCCGGGGGGGUGGCGGGGGGGGGUAGAGGGCUGUCAUGGGGGUCUGCUCUUGUGCAGCUCAGGCUG